rnacentral:rRNA from 1 species
GAUGAACGCUGGCGGCGUGCCUAAUACAUGCAAGUCGAGCGAACGGACGAGAAGCUUGCUUCUCUGAUGUUAGCGGCGGACGGGUGAGUAACACGUGGAUAACCUACAUAUAAGACUGGGAUAACUUCGGGAAACCGGAGCUAAUACCGGAUGAUAUUUUGAACCGCAUGGUUCAAAAGUGAAAGACGGUCUUGCUGUCACUUAUAGAUGGAUCCGCGCUGCAUUAGCUAGUUGGUAAGGUAACGGCUUACCAAGGCAACGAUGCAUAGCCGACCUGAGAGGGUGAUCGGCCACACUGGAACUGAGACACGGUCCAGACUCCUACGGGAGGCAGCAGUAGGGAAUCUUCCGCAAUGGGCGAAAGCCUGACGGAGCAACGCCGCGUGAGUGAUGAAGUUCUUCGGAUCGUAAAACUCUGUUAUUAGGGAAGAACAUAUGUGUAAGUAACUGUGCACAUCUUGACGGUACCUAAUCAGAAAGCCACGGCUAACUACGUG